GAUGAACGCUGGCGGCGUGCCUAAUACAUGCAAGUCGAGCGAACAGACGAGGAGCUUGCUCCUCUGACGUUAGCGGCGGACGGGUGAGUAACACGUGGAUAACCUACCUCUAAGACUGGGAUAACUUCGGGAAACCGGAGCUAAUACCGGAUAAUAUAUUGAACCGCAUGGUUCAAGAGUGAAAGACGGUUUUGAUGUCACUGAGAGAUUGAUCCGCGCCGCAUUAGCUAGUUGGUAAGGUAACGGCUUACCAAGGCAACGAUGCGUAGCCGACCUGAGAGGGUGAUCGGCCACACUGGAACUGAGACACGGUCCAGACUCCUACGGGAGGCAGCAGUAGGGAAUCUUCCGCAAUGGGCGAAAGCCUGACGGAGCAACGCCGCGUGAGUGAUGAAGGUCUUCGGAUCGUAAAACUCUGUUAUUAGGGAAGAACAAAUGUGUAAGUAACUAUGCACGUCUUGACGGUACCUAAUCAGAAAGCCACGGCUAACUACGUG
rnacentral:rRNA from 1 species